rnacentral:tRNA from 1 species
CGCCGACUGGUGGGCCCGGCGCAGCGGCGUGCCGGGCGCCGUGGUGCCGGUCGACCGGCACGGGCGGGUCUCCCCCGACGACGUCGUC